rnacentral:tRNA from 1 species
GCGGGUGUAGCUCAAUGGCAGAGUUCCAGCUUCCCAAGCUGGCCACGUGGGUUCGAUUCCCAUCACCCGCUCCA